AAUUGGUUCAGAAUCAGAGAAGCUCUACUACCCAGAAGAGUUGGAACGGGCCUUGAAAUGUAACCCAAGCAUCUUAUUAUGCAGGAGGCUCAUGUGGUCCCUGUUUGUCAUCCAGUCAUCAGCUUCUGGCCCCAGACACCUUUCCUCUGCACUGUGGCACAUAGGAGCAGACUGCUUUGGAGGGCAGCUUCCUGGGAGCUCCAGGGACCCUGGCCAGGCGGCCACUGCCACUGACUUCCUUGGCUCACUGAGCCCGUGCCUGCAGCUCUCGUGUUUCCUCUGUGCUGCAGUGGACACUUAUCUUCCCCCGAUGGCACAUUUCUUUGUCACAGACAGGACCCUCAC
rnacentral:lncRNA from 1 species